GACGGAGGGUGCAAACGUUGUUCGGAAUCACUGGGCAUAAAGCGCACGUAGGCGGUCCGCUAAGUCAGUUGUGAAAUCCCUCGGCUCAACCGAGGAGCUGCACCUGAUACUGGCGGGCUCGAGAACGGUAGGGGUGAGUGGAACUCCAGGUGGAGCGGUGAAAUGCGUAGAUAUCUGGAGGAACACCGGUGGCGAAGGCGGCUCACUGGACCGUAUCUGACGCUGAGGUGCGAAAGCUAGGGUAGCAAACGGGAUUAGAAACCCCCGUAGUCC
rnacentral:rRNA from 1 species